UCAAGUGAAGAAGCGCAUACGGUGGAUGCCUUGGCAGUCAGAGGCGAUGAAAGACGUGGUAGCCUGCGAAAAGCUUCGGGGAGUCGGCAAACAGACUUUGAUCCGGAGAUGUCUGAAUGGGGGAACCCAGCCAUCAUAAGAUGGUUAUCUUGUACUGAAUACAUAGGUGCAAGAAGCGAACCAGGGGAACUGAAACAUCUAAGUACCCUGAGGAAAAGAAAUCAACCGAGAUUCCCUUAGUAGUGGCGAGCGAACGGGGACUAGCCCUUAAGUGGCUUUGAGAUUAGCGGAACGCUCUGGAAAGUGCGGCCAUAGUGGGUGAUAGCCCUGUACGCGAAAAUCUCUUAGUCAUGAAAUCGAGUAGGACGGAGCACGAGAAACUUUGUCUGAAUAUGGGGGGACCAUCCUCCAAGGCUAAAUACUACUGACUGACCGAUAGUGAACUAGUACCGUGAGGGAAAGGCGAAAAGAACCCCGGAGAGGGGAGUGAAAUAGAUCCUGAAACCGUAUGCGUACAAGCAGUGGGAGCCCACUUUGUUGGGUGACUGCGUACCUUUUGUAUAAUGGGUCAGCGACUUAUUUUCAGUGGCGAGCUUAACCGAAUAGGGGAGGCGUAGCGAAAGCGAGUCUUAAUAGGGCGUCUAGUCGCUGGGAAUAGACCCGAAACCGGGCGAUCUAUCCAUGGGCAGGUUGAAGGUUGGGUAACACUAACUGGAGGACCGAACCGACUACCGUUGAAAAGUUAGCGGAUGACCUGUGGAUCGGAGUGAAAGGCUAAUCAAGCUCGGAGAUAGCUGGUUCUCCUCGAAAGCUAUUUAGGUAGCGCCUCAUGUAUCACUGUAGGGGGUAGAGCACUGUUUCGGCUAGGGGGUCAUCCCGACUUACCAAACCGAUGCAAACUCCGAAUACCUACAAGUGCCGAGCAUGGGAGACACACGGCGGGUGCUAACGUCCGUCGUGAAAAGGGAAACAACCCAGACCGUCAGCUAAGGUCCCAAAGUUAUGGUUAAGUGGGAAACGAUGUGGGAAGGCUUAGACAGCUAGGAGGUUGGCUUAGAAGCAGCCACCCUUUAAAGAAAGCGUAAUAGCUCACUAGUCGAGUCGGCCUGCGCGGAAGAUGUAACGGGGCUCAAACCAUACACCGAAGCUACGGGUAUCACGUAAGUGAUGCGGUAGAGGAGCGUUCUGUAAGCCUGUGAAGGUGAGUUGAGAAGCUUGCUGGAGGUAUCAGAAGUGCGAAUGCUGACAUGAGUAACGAUAAUGGGUGUGAAAAACACCCACGCCGAAAGACCAAGGUUUCCUGCGCAACGUUAAUCGACGCAGGGUUAGUCGGUCCCUAAGGCGAGGCUGAAAAGCGUAGUCGAUGGAAAACAGGUUAAUAUUCCUGUACUUCUGGUUAUUGCGAUGGAGGGACGGAGAAGGCUAGGCCAGCUUGGCGUUGGUUGUCCAAGUUUAAGGUGGUAGGCUGGAAUCUUAGGUAAAUCCGGGAUUCUAAGGCCGAGAGCUGAUGACGAGUUACCUUUCAGGUAACGAAGUGGUUGAUGCCAUGCUUCCAAGAAAAGCUUCUAAGCUUCAGGUAACCAGGAACCGUACCCCAAACCGACACAGGUGGUUGGGUAGAGAAUACCAAGGCGCUUGAGAGAACUCGGGUGAAGGAACUAGGCAAAAUGGCACCGUAACUUCGGGAGAAGGUGCGCCGGUGAGGGUGAAGGACUUGCUCCGUAAGCUCAUGCCGGUCGAAGAUACCAGGCCGCUGCGACUGUUUAUUAAAAACACAGCACUCUGCAAACACGAAAGUGGACGUAUAGGGUGUGACGCCUGCCCGGUGCCGGAAGGUUAAUUGAUGGGGUUAGCUAACGCGAAGCUCUUGAUCGAAGCCCCGGUAAACGGCGGCCGUAACUAUAACGGUCCUAAGGUAGCGAAAUUCCUUGUCGGGUAAGUUCCG
rnacentral:rRNA from 1 species